rnacentral:rRNA from 1 species
GACGAACGCUGGCGGCGUGCUUAACACAUGCAAGUCGAACGAGUGGCGAACGGGUGAGUAAUACGUGGGUAACCUGCCCUCUUUUUGGGAUAAGCCUUGGAAACGGGGUCUAAUACCGAAUAAAGGGGGAUGGGCUCGCGGCCUAUCAGCUUGUUGGUGGGGUGAUGGCCUACCAAGGCGGUGACGGGUAGCCGGCCUGAGGGGGUGACCGGCAAGAUUGGGACGGAGAGACGGCCCAGACUCCUACGGGAGGCAGCAGUGGGGGAUAUUGAACAAUGGGCGAAAGACUGAUGCAGGGACGCCGCGUGGGGGAUGAAGGCUUUCAGGUUGUAAACCUCUUUCGCUAUCGAAAAGGGAGGUGGAGAAGAAGCGCCGGCUAACUACGUGCCAGCAGCCGCGGUAAUUC